rnacentral:rRNA from 1 species
UUGUUGGUAAGGUAAAAGCUUACCAAGGCUUCGAUCAGUAGCUGGUCUGAGAGGACGACCAGCCACACUGGGACUGAGACACGGCCCAGACUCCUACGGGAGGCAGCAGUGGGGAAUUUUGGACAAUGGGGGCAACCCUGAUCCAGCCAUGCCGCGUGAGUGAAGAAGGCCUUCGGGUUGUAAAGCUCUUUCAGCCGGAACGAAACGGUUACGGAUAACACCCGUGACUACUGACGGUACCGGAAGAAGAAGCACCGGCUAACUACGUGCCAGCAGCCGCGGUAACACGUAGGGUGCGAGCGUUAAUCGGAAUUACUGGGCGUAAAGCGUGCGCAGGUGGUUUUGUAAGUCAGAUGUGAAUGCCCCGGGCUCAACCUGGGAACUGCGUUUGAAACUACAAGACUAGAGUGUGGCAGAGGGGGGUGGAAUUCCGCGUGUAGCAGUGAAAUGCGUAGAGAUGUGGAGGAACACCGAUGGCGAAGGCAGCCCCCUGGGUCAACACUGACGCUCAGGCACGAAAGCAUGGGGAGCAAACAGGAUUAGAUACCCUGGUAGUCCAUGCCCUAAACGAUGUCAACUAGUUGUCGGGCCUUUACGGGCUUGGUAACGUAGCUAACGCGUGAAGUUGACCGCCUGGGGAGUACGAUCGCAAGAUUAAAACUCAAAUGAAUUGACGGGGACCCGCACAAGCGGUGGAUUAUGUGGAUUAAUUCGAUGCAACGCGAAAAACCUUACCUACCCUUGACAUGUAUCGAAGCCCGCAGAAAAGCGGGGGUGCCCGAAAGGGAACGAUAACACAGGUGCUGCAUGGCUGUCGUCAGCUCGUGUCGUGAGAUGUUGGGUUAAGUCCCGCAACGAGCGCAACCCUUGUCAUUAAUUGCCAUCAUUUAGUUGGGCACUUUAAUGAGACUGCCGG